rnacentral:lncRNA from 1 species
CCUUUCGAGGUUGAAUUCUUGAACUGCUUUUUGAGUCACACGCAGACAAAGAUCCCUCUCUUAUGUAACUCAAGCUUAGCUACUCCUUUUAUUAUUUUUUCGAUUUUUCUUUUUUUCUUUUUCUUCUCUCUUGUGUAAAGGCUUUUAUGGUUUUCCUCUUGUGAUUCAUUUUUCCUGGAAGACGAGAAAAUUGGAAUUCAUCUUUGUAGAAACCCUUGACUGGAAAUCCAUCCAUCGGAGGUGAAGGAGUAGAUAGAAUUAGAACACAUGCAUUAUUGAUAGCAGUCUCCCUUAUUCGAAGCCCCCAAUUUAGUUCAUCAGAUAUUGGUGCAACUCAAAUGAUCAGAUUGCUUGUUGUGGAAUUAAAAGAAGGGGGAAAAAUUUGAAGCGAUAGAGGGAGAGAAAUGAGAGUAGGUCUCA